CUACGGACUUAAUUGGAUUGAGCCUUGGUAUGGAAACCUACUAAGUGAUAACUUUCAAAUUCUGAAAAACCCUGAAAGGAAAAAUGAGCAAUCCUGAGCCAAAUCCUAUUAUUUAAUUAUUUUAUAAAAAUAAACAUUAACAAAGGUUCAGCAAUCGAGAAUAAUAAAAAAAGGAAACGGUAAGUGUAGAGACUCAAUGGAAGCUAUUCUAACAAAUGGGGUUGCUGUUGGUAAAUGAAUUUUUAUAUCGAAACUCUAGAAAAGAUGCAAGAUAUACCUAUUUUUUUUAUAGGUAUACUA
rnacentral:ncRNA from 1 species